GGGAAAUAGCCUAGUGGUUAGAGUACCCGCCUCUGAUGCACAAGGUCCCGGGUUCGAUUCUUGGUAG
rnacentral:tRNA from 11 species